GAAUCUGCCUGGUAGUGGGGGAUAACGUUCGGAAACGGACGCUAAUACCGCAUACGUCCUACGGGAGAAAGCAGGGGACCUUCGGGCCUUGCGCUAUCAGAUGAGCCUAGGUCGGAUUAGCUAGUUGGUGGGGUAAUGGCUCACCAAGGCGACGAUCCGUAACUGGUCUGAGAGGAUGAUCAGUCACACUGGAACUGAGACACGGUCCAGACUCCUACGGGAGGCAGCAGUGGGGAAUAUUGGACAAUGGGCGAAAGCCUGAUCCAGCCAUGCCGCGUGUGUGAAGAAGGUCUUCGGAUUGUAAAGCACUUUAAGUUGGGAGGAAGGGUUGUAGAUUAAUACUCUGCAAUUUUGACGUUACCGACAGAAUAAGCACCGGCUAACUCUGUGCCAGCAGCCGCGGUAAUACAGAGGGUGCAAGCGUUAAUCGGAAUUACUGGGCGUAAAGCGCGCGUAGGUGGUUUGUUAAGUUGGAUGUGAAAUCCCCGGGCUCAACCUGGGAACUGCAUUCAAAACUGACUGACUAGAGUAUGGUAGAGGGUGGUGGAAUUUCCUGUGUAGCGGUGA
rnacentral:rRNA from 1 species